rnacentral:miRNA from 2 species
UAGUUUGAUUCACAGCACAAGA